GCCCCCGUAGUUAAAUGGAUAUAAUAGCCCCCUCCUAAGGGGUUGUUAUCAGUUCGAUUCUGGUCGGGGGUGCCA
rnacentral:tRNA from 1 species